rnacentral:rRNA from 1 species
AUCCUACGGGACGCAGCAGUGGGGGAUAUUGCACAAUGGGGGGAACCCUGAUGCAGCGACGCCGCGUGGGUGAAGAAGCGCCUCGGCGCGUAAAGCCCUGUCAGCAGGGAAGAAAAUGACGGUACCUGAAGAAGAAGCCCCGGCUAACUACGUGCCAGCAGCCGCGGUAAUACGUAGGGGGCAAGCGUUAUCCGGAUUUACUGGGUGUAAAGGGGGCGCAGACGGCGAUGCAAGCCUGGAGUGAAAGCCCGUGGCUUAACCACGGGACUGCUCUGGAAACUGUGCAGCUAGAGUGCAGGAGAGGG